rnacentral:tRNA from 1 species
GGUAUAGCGCCGGAAUGAACGGAUUAUAUUGAUGUUAUAAACCAUAAGAAUUUAUGUCUUCUAUACCU